ensembl:lncRNA
GCUCUGUGAAGAUCCAAACUUGCUUCUUGAGUAUAACAAACUGAUGGGCUACCUCAUGGGCUACCUGUGUGUCCUGACGGGACACAGAUCUGUUGUCAUGACAAACAUGACCAAGGAAAAUGUCUUGAACGCAGAACGUACCAAGCAUGGAUUCCAUAUCACAGUUGACGAACACAAAACUGUGCGUACAUAUGGACAGGCAUCCUUGUUUGUCACCACGACCGAGCAUUCCUGGCUGAGAAAAUUGAUAGAGAUCCUCUCUGUCCAAAAGAUUCAUGACGAUUGCAGUUAUGUCUUUGCAUCCAUCCGUGGGAACCAAAUUGUGAAACCUGUCCACUUCCUUCAAGCUGCCUGGAGAGAUGCUGGCCUGGGAGGUAUUAUCACUUUCAACAAGAUACGGAGCAGUGCCUCCACCCAAGUAAGUUUGUGUGAUUUUUUUUUUUUUUUUUUUUUUUUUUUUUUUGAAGCCAUUGUGAUUUUAUGGAUAAAACAGGACAUACAGAAUAUGUUUUUUGUUUUGUUUUUCUAUUUGCAGGCCAGCAAAUAUCUCACUGUCGAGGAAAAAGAAAAGCUGGCUAAGGCUAUGUGUCAUGAUACAAAAACCGCUGAGCGUUUCUACGUGGCGCUGCCUGACAAGAAGGAAGCCUCAAAAGUUAGAGAUUUAAGAUUGAGGGCGAUGAACAUGGCUAUGGCAGAUGUGGAAGAAAGAAGCCCCACUGAGGACGAAACAACUGAAGAUGAGGAUGAGCCCGUCUUGGAAAGUGAGGGAUACAGUUCACCAACAUUUCUCUCUGAGGAUUCAGAAACGGCUCGUAAAAGGGGAAGGGAGUUCCUCCCUAACAUGUCUGUGGAUGUCCAACCAGAACCUUGCAGCGACGAGGAUGAGUUACCGUGCGGACAAUCACGUGCAACUAAGAGGAAACUACACUUUAAAUUUGAAGGAGUUGGCACUGGAAUGUCUGACCCUGUGGAACAGUUUGAUGCUAAGAAAUCCAGCCACAGUAAAUCCAUGCAGCACAGAAGUUUCUGCAUCUGAUGCUGUAAAGCCAACUCAGGUGGUAGAGGAGACUCAAAUGAGUCAGGAAACCGAACUGUAGGUCAGAAAACCAACUUUAGACAGUUUUGAGCAUAUUUAUUUUCAAAGUAGUCCUUUUUAGUAAAGGAUUUUUUUUAUUUGUAUAAAAUUUUAG